UUGGAGGGCAAGUCUGGUGCCAGCAGCCGCGGUAAUUCCAGCUCCAAUAGCGUAUAUUAAAGUUGUUGCAGUUAAAAAGCUCGUAGUUGAAUUUCGGGGUUAGUAGGUUGGUCAUGCCUCUGGUAUGUACUGGUCUCACUGAUUCCUCCUUCCUGAUGAACCGUAAUGCCAUUAAUUUGGUGUUGCGGGGAAUUUGGACUGUUACUUUGAAAAAAUUAGAGUGUUUAAAGCAGGCUAACGCUUGAAUACAUUAGCAUGGAAUAAUGAAAUAGGACGUUCGAUCCUAUUUUGUUGGUUUCUAGGAUUGACGUAAUGAUUAAUAGGGAUAGUUGGGGGCAUUAGUAUUCAAUUGUCAGAGGUGAAAUUCUUGGAUUUAUCGAAGACUAACUACUGCGAAAGCAUAUGCCAAGGAUGUUUUCAUUAAUCAAGAACGAAAGUUAGGGGAUCGAAGACGAUCAGAUACCGUCGUAGUCUUAACCAUAAACUAUGCCGACUAGGGAUCGGAUGAUGUUAAUUUUUUAAUGACUCAUUCGGCGCCUUACGGGAAAC
rnacentral:rRNA from 1 species